AACGCACCUUGCACCCUUUGGUAUUCCGAAGGGUACACCCGUUUGAGUGUCAUUGUAAUCUCACUACAACUACUUUAUUGUUGUUUGUAUGUGGAUCUGGAUGUUGCCGUGUAACAAAUGGCUCGUCUGAAAUGCCUGAGUGUACCCUGCUUUGCGGCGUAUUCGGUGUGAUAAAUCUUCACCGGAGUUGACUUUCGGGUCGCGUCUGCUUAACCAUGGCUCUAUGCUUCCAACCGUCCUAACAAGACAACCUUUGACAAUUUGACCUCAAAUCGGGUGGGACUACCCGCUGAACUUAA
rnacentral:misc_RNA from 1 species